rfam:Cronobacter sakazakii ATCC BAA-894, complete genome.
AACGAGGUACAGUUCUGUUUAUGUGUGGCAUUUUCAGUAAAGAAGUCCUGAGUAAACACGUUGUCGUUGAAUACCGCUUCUCUGCCGAACCUUAUUUUAGUGCCUCAAGCAGUAAUGUCUCAGUUUUAUCUAAGUCAGCGCCCGCGGGCGAACAAAACAAUUGAAGGAAUUUGCGAAAUGGCAAAGAUUAAAGGUCAAGUUAAGUGGUUCAACGAAUCUAAAGGUUUUGGCUUCAUUACUCCUGCUGACGGCAGCAAAGAUGUGUUCGUACACUUCUCUGCAAUCCAGGGUAAUGGUUUCAAAACUCUGGCCGAAGGCCAGAACGUUGAGUUCGAGAUUCAGGACGGCCAGAAAGGUCCGGCAGCUGUUAACGUAGUUGCUAUCUAAUCGCACUUAAACUGACCCGGUGCCUUGUUUCACCGGCCAGCUAUUUUAAAGCCCCGCCCACUGGCGGGGCUUUUUCA